rnacentral:rRNA from 1 species
AUUCCCCUCCUUCUUUAUUCCUAACACAUGCAAGUCGAACGGCAGCACAGUAAGAGCUUGCUCUUACGGGUGGCGAGUGGCGGACGGGUGAGGAAUACAUCGGAAUCUACUUUUUCGUGGGGGAUAACGUAGGGAAACUUACGCUAAUACCGCAUACGACCUACGGGUGAAAGCAGGGGAUCUUCGGACCUUGCGCGAUUGAAUGAGCCGAUGUCGGAUUAGCUAGUUGGCGGGGUAAAGGCCCACCAAGGCGACGAUCCGUAGCUGGUCUGAGAGGAUGAUCAGCCACACUGGAACUGAGACACGGUCCAGACUCCUACGGGAGGCAGCAGUGGGGAAUAUUGGACAAUGGGCGCAAGCCUGAUCCAGCCAUACCGCGUGGGUGAAGAAGGCCUUCGGGUUGUAAAGCCCUUUUGUUGGGAAAGAAAAGCAGCAGGUUAAUACCCCGCUGUUCUGACGGUACCCAAAGAAUAAGCACCGGCUAACUUCGUG